CUAAGAAUAUUCCGCAAUGGAGGAAACUCUGACGGAGCGACGCCGCGUGGAUGAUGAAGGUCGGAAGAUUGUAAAAAUCCUUUUAUGACUGAGGAAUAAGCUGGGUGAGAGAAACGCCUGGUGGUGACUGUAGGUCAUGAAUAAGCAACGGCUAAUUACGUGCCAGCAGCCGCGGUAACACGUAAGUUGCGAGCGUUGUUCGGAAUUAUUGGGCGUAAAGGGCAUGUAGGCGGUAAUCUAAGCUUGGUGUGAAAGGCAGGGGCUUAACUCCUGGACAGCAUUGAGAACUGGAUUGCUAG
rnacentral:rRNA from 1 species